rnacentral:tRNA from 1 species
GGUAGUAUGGCUGAGGAUUAAGCGAUGGGUUGUAGCCCCAUAAACAGAGGUCAAAUUCCUCUUGCUCCCA